rnacentral:tRNA from 1 species
GGAGAGGUGGCCGAGUGGUCGAAGGCGCUCCCCCUGCUAAGGGAGUAGACCUCAUAAGGGUCUCGUGGGUUCGAAUCCCAUCCUCUCCGCCA